rnacentral:misc_RNA from 1 species
AAAGCAGAAUUGGUAAAAUUAAUAAUGGCUUUGGUGUCUCUUUCUGAUUAAAUAAUACUAACUUUGGUUGUAUACAUCCAACCUCCAGAAUGGCAUAUUUGUUGACUACUAGGAAUGAUAGUUGUUCUUGGGUAGGGCUUGGUCAUAAGUUUUCUAACUGGCAUGAAUGAUUGCCUAGUAGAUUAUGCCACAAUGUUUGACAGCAACAUAUGAAAAUGAAGAGAGAUGUAAUACAUUAUCUUUCUUCUUUCUACUAUAGUUGGACAUCCUAUAGAAGAGGAAGGCCUUUCUCUUGGGCCUAACGAGGUAGGACUGGGACCACAAAAGUAGGGCUAACAUGGAGAUGGAAUCUCAUCUAUACUUAGCCUGAGAGACUCCAAUUAUGUGUUUGUUUGGAAGGAAAGGAAGAUGGAAGGAAUUGUAUUUUGACUCUAUAAGUUAAGAUACACUUCCUCCACUUUAUGUAUUUAGCUUGUAUUAUUCCUACUUUCCUUACCCUCUACCAAACACAGCCCCUCAUUGAUUGCUUUGGUGGAUGCAAAAGUAUUUUUAAUUAACAAUCCAGGAAAAGAGUAUUUCGUAACAAAAUUUUCUUUUAUCUACCGACCAAUAGAUCAGUAUUAAGAUCAUGUUAGAAUGUGAGUUGUUUU